rnacentral:rRNA from 1 species
GACGAACGCUGGCGGCGUGCUUAACACAUGCAAGUCGAACGGAAAGGCCCCUUUGGGGUACUCGGGUGGCGAACGGGUGAGUAACACGUGAGUAACCUGCCCUUGACUUCGGGAUAACUUCAGGAAACUGGGGCUAAUACAGGAUAGGAAACCUUGCUGCAUGGUGGGGGAUGGAAAGCUUCGGCGGUUUUGGAUGGACUCACGGGUUAUCAGCUUGGUGGUGGGGUAGUGGCUUACCAAGGCCUUGACGGGUAGCCGGCCUGGGAGGGCGACCGGCCACAUUGGGACUGAGGGACGGCGCAGACUCCUACGGGAGGCAGCAGUGGGGAGUCUUGCACAAUGGGCGGGAGCCAGAGGCGGAGACGCCGCGAGCGUGAAGACGGGCUUCGGGUUGUAAACCGCUUUCAGCAGGGGCGAAGCUUGUGGUGACGGUACCUGCAGAGGAAGCACCGGCUAACUACGUG